ACGGGAGGCAGCAGUCGGGAAUAUUGCGCAAUGGAGGAAACUCUGACGCAGUGACGCCGCGUAUAGGAAGAAGGUUUUAGGAUUGUAAACUAUUUUAGACAGGGAAGAAAAAUGACGGUACCUGUUAAAUAAGCUCCGGCUAACUACGUGCCAGCAGCCGCGGUAAUACGUAGGGAGCAAGCGUUAUCCGGAAUUAUUGGGUGUAAAGGGUGCGUAGACGGGAACUUAAGUUGGUUGUGAAAGCCCCAGGCUUAACUUGGGAAUUGCAACCAAAACUGAGUUUCUUGAGUGCAGGAGAGGAAAGCGGAAUUCCUAGUGUAGCGGUGAAAUGCGUAGAUAUUAGGAGGAACACCAGUGGCGAAGGCGGCUUUCUGGACUGUAACUGACGUUGAGGCACGAAAGUGUGGGGAGCAAACAGGAUUAGAUACCCUGGUA
rnacentral:rRNA from 1 species